AGCAGCCCGGGUAGAAGGUGCGCAGACAGCGCCCCCAGAAGGUUCAAGGGCUCUGUCUGCGGGCCCGGGGGCAAGCCGACUGCGCGUUUCCCAAGGAGCUUCUCAGCUUCCCUGGGCGGCAGCCAGAAGCACUCAGACACCGCCCAGCCCGGGGCUUUCACAAACAAGCCCAGUCAUCCUUCAGGACCACGUUCUGUCCUCGUCCAAGGGCCUCUGUCGGGAGUCCGGCGGGAGCCUGCAGAUUCUGGGAGCAAGAUGCGGACUGCAGGGAUGAAAGCCCCGUGUGCUCCGUGGUGGGCGGAGGCCGGCAGGGAGCAGAGAGCCGGAAGUGGCUGGGUCAGGCAUUCUCCUUCUCUUGUCUUCCGGUGACAGAUCUGCGCUGCCCGUGGGCCGAUGGCAGACUGGAGACCCAAGGACGAGUAGACGAGUAGACGUUGCAGCUCGAGUCUGAAGGUAAUCUACGGGCGGAAUUCCCUCUUCCUCGGGGACUUCAGUCUUUUUUGUCUCAGGACCUUCACCUGGAUACGUGAGGCCCACUCACAUAAUGGCAGAUGAUCUGCUUUCCUCAAAAUCUGUUGAUUUCAGUGCUAAUCGCAUCUGUAAGACACCUGCCCAGCAACAUCUAGAACCGUCUGGAGACCAGAGCCCAGCCGAGCUGAUCUGGGUGAAUGGGCUAGUGUCCUCGCCUCUGUCUACUUCACACUGAUGGGACCCAUGCAGCGCCCACCUCGCAAGGUUAUGGUGAGAAUUGGAGGGAUCCUGGGUGAUAAGUAGCUGUGACACUGCUGGGCUCAUGGUAGACAAGGUGUCGUCGCCUUCUCACGUCCCUCUCCUUCCAACCGUGUUUGCUCCACAGGCAGGGCCACGUGGAAGCUGACAUGUGACAUUUUGUGCUCCCUCCACACCAGUCUCUGUGAAGGGGAAUCCUUCAGUCUUUUCCUCGUUUCCUAGAGGCAGACUGAGUGGGGAGCCUUCCUUUUAUCUCCAUACCUUGUGGAAAAGGGGCCUGAGGGGCUGAAAAUUGCUGGGCUCAGAGUUGCCUGUGGAGUCCCGAGAGGCAGAAAGGGCAAACGGAACUUAGCUUGGAACCUAGUAGAUUUUGUCACCUCUGUCACAGCUGUGCUUCCACGCAGGCUCUGGGGUCGCAGAAGGGCCAGAACACAAGAUGUUAGUUCUCCUGAGGGCCCCUGAGCAACCAGCUUCUCUUUUCCACACGCAUUACCAGUGUGUGUGCACACAAGCCGUUGUGCAUUUGGCUUUUGUUUUAUGUCCUUGCAAUAGAGAUGAUUUUGUGUGAUAAAAAAAUGCUCAGAUGCAAGACCCAUAGACCUCCUUCUAUUUUAAGCAACAUUAGCUUGCUUUCUUUCUUUUUGUCUUUUUGAUAAAAAAGAAAGAAAAAAUAUCGCCCAUCAUGUGUGUGGCCUGAACACAACCCUCGGAACAUCUUAAAGGUUAUCCAUCAAGGUUUGUAAAAAGAACUGUAUUAUUCUUAAUUAUUCUUAUCUUAUUAUUAUAUGAUACUUGGGGAAUUUAUUUUUUAACCUGUAAUCUCAUGCCAGAAGAGGCCACUUAGGCUUAUUUUUAUUUGCAGACUGAGAAGAAAAACAAAAUAUAUGGGACCCUGUUUACUAUUUAAAAUUGUAUUCUCUAUCACUUUUCCUUUCAACUUGAAAAGGAGUUUUGUGCUCCAGAUCAACGUUUGGCCCCAGGUCAGCGAUGCUCCCGUCAGGCCAGCGGGGGAGAGAGUUCUGGGCCAGCAGGCAGUCAUAUAUUUCUUCCUUAAUCCUGUGUGCGUGGGCGAAGUAUCAGGCAAAGGUAUAAAUAAAAUGUUCUGAACUCUA